rnacentral:lncRNA from 1 species
CCGUUUCUAGAAAUCAGCAUCGCCUUCUUCGUCUCCUUCCACAGGAACGGUUUCUGCAGUAAUGGCUUUGAAGCCGUUUCAAUUGUAGAGAUGCUUGGCAUUCUCUGGCUAUAAAGCCAUAGAAGAUGAGAGAGCGUGGAGGAGAAAAAAAGAGCAAAACCGGGGGGAAGAAAAAGCCAAGAACGGGAAAAAAAAGGGCAGAACCGAGGGGCUGAGAGAGAGAGAACGAAAAAAAAAAACCAGGAGAGGCAAAAAAAAAAGAAACCCAGAAAACAGAGACAAAGAAAACAGUAUACAGAGCAAAAACAGAGAUAAAAGCAAGCAAAAAACCCAGAAUACCAACAUUAACAUCACCGUCUUCUUGAUCGCCUCCUGCAAAUAAAAAAAAAGAACCCCCAGCAUUGCCAUCGUCUUCGUUCCUUCAUCUCAAAGAACCGGGAUAAUAGGCUAGAUAACCAGAAGCAAAGGAAACGCAAAACCCAGAGAGAAGAACGCAAGGAAAGGUGGAAAGGGUGCCCUGCCAAGCGUGGUUCAAUCACACAGAAGGAGCUUUGUCAUCCUCUUCGUCGCCUUCAGCCAACCAAGGUAAGCCGCUUCCUCUGCCUUUCGUUCGGU